AUGGGGUCACUGUCCCAGCUUCUCUGUGGGCUCCUCAUGCUUUUGGUCCCAGGUUCCAGGAAGGUAAAUGUGCUGACCUCGUCUCCAGCCUUAGUGUCUACGACCCCAGAAGAGAGAAUCACCAUCAGCUGCAAGGCCAGUCAGAGUAUCAAACACUGUAACGCAUACACUUAUCUGAACUGGCUUCAACAGAAGCCUGGACAAUCUCCUCUGAGACCCAUUUACAGGAUUUCCAAUCUGGAUUCAGGAGUCCCUUCCUGGUUCAGUGGCAGUGGUGCUGGGAAGGAUUUCACCAUCACAAUCAGCAGUGUGGAGCCUGAGGAUGGGGCAGAUUAUUACUGUUUUCAACAUUCUCUUGAUCCUCCCACAGUGUUACAUCUCCAAACAAGAACCUCCCCAGGCCUAGGCUGGCUGGUCACAGGGGUGGGGGGGGCUCAGCAGUUUCCUCUCCUUCCUGUCCUCCAGCAGCUCCUGAGCUGCCUACUCACCGUCAGGGUCUCUGAGGCUGACAUGAGAAAAGGCACCCAGGGCUCAGGGGAAAGGCCAUGGUCUGGCAGCUCUGUGCCCUGA